CCUUGGUCAUGCAACUCUAAUCAAACAUAGAGCACAUGAAAUGACUAUAAAAUCAACAAUAUUAAAAAAGAGCGAGAUAGAGCAUGGGCAACUGCAAUUUACAUGCAUGCACUAGUAUUGGUGCAAAAUACAUACAUACAUAUAGUCGAGUCAUUUUACAAGAUGGCGUCGCAGCAAUGUGCAAUGUGCAUGGGAAGGUGAUAAAAAGGAAAGAAAAAGAAAUAAAAUAAAUACGAGAUGGUAGCUAAAAUGUUGCUGGCGUUGCUUUGUUUAUUUAGUGGUUGCAAGUGUGCGUCACACCCACAAGUCCGCAUGCAAUUUGCUGCUGCGUCGGAUGCUGGUGUAACAACACAGCAAUAGCAAUAGCAACAGCAACAGCAAUAACAACAACAGCAACAACAACGAUGUCGGGACCGGCAAAUAACCAACCCGAUUCGUCAGGCUCAGCCAAUGGGAGAACAGCUCACACACACACACACAGACAGGCGGCGUCAUAUUCCAGAGACACAACACAACAAAACAGGAGCCAACCAGCCACCCACAACAACAGCAAAAGCAAUAACAACAACAACAAGCACGAAGAAACAUUCCAAUUGCAGCGCCUUGGAAGGUUCGAGCGACAGAGCAAACGAUAACUGAGCAGUGAGGGAGUGAGAAGGAGAACGAAAGCUGGAGUGUGAGUGAGCGAGUGUAAGUAGCCGAGCGAAGCAAAAGCAAAAGCUAAGCCAUAAGCAAAGUGCAGCAGCAGCAGCGAAAGACAUGCGCAAAGUUAAGAGAGUGCGAAACGAAGAGCGCAACGAACGACUUCGGGUAAGCACAAAGAGAGUAGUGUGGGAGAGCGAAUGCGAAAACGAGAGAGCAACGACGAUGAUGAUGAUGGGUUGCUGCUGUGUGUGUGAAUGCAGCGCAGCGCAAUGCGAGCAACGAGUGCAAGUACAACUUUCAACUUCAAUAGCUUGUAAAGCUCGAACUUCUUCAAUCAUCAAACGGCUUCAAGGCCGCCAUCAAAUUAGUUGUGUGUGUCACUCGUCAGUUCGCACACAGCGAGCCUACUGUAAGUAGAAUCACGUAAAGAUGCCAACAAUGAAGAAAAGCGUGGUUUUUCAUGGAGUAAAGAGCAACGUCAGUCGCUAUAAGGCGUCACACAAAAGAACCAAAGUCACAAAUAAGUAUGAAAAAUGCAAAAAAGCAAAUUGAAAUGAACGUAACGGAAAAGUAACCAUUAAAUUAAUCCAUAUAAAUAAAAUAAUGAUAAUUGUAACCAAUAGUAGGGCCCUUAAGUAGCCAACGAUAUACGAUACGAUGUAAUCAAUAUCAAGUUAAUUUAUCAAACUAUCUAAUUAAGCAGUCACAGAAAAUAAACAGCAAUGCAUAGGUAGGCAAGUAAUGGUAUAAUAGCUAUAAGUUCAAUCAUCGAUAAUAAUGCACAAAAUAAUGUGUCGAAUCCAACAAUCAAACAUUCCCCCCGAAAAUUAAGUAUAACGAUCUAUAAAUGAUCACGCUAGCGAUCGGUUUAAAUAUCAUAAAAACUGUUCUUCCCAACGAGAGCUAAACAUUGGCCCAAGUCUGAUCUAUCCGGGGCAUGUGUUCUGCUUGUUAACCCCAACCUGCCAACAAAAUUAUCCGUGGAACAUUUAAAUGGGUGUCCGCUUUUUUGCACAACGCGUACGCGAC